AAACGCGUUCGAUUGUAUUUGGAAAACAACCUUAACCGGUUUUGGAUUCAAACAAACUCAAUUCUAAUCCUAGCCCAAAUUGACAAAGCCCAAAACAAGAGAACCCAUAUCCUCAACCCAUAAUUUAAUUUCACGUGAAACAAAAGAAACAGCAAAACCCUCCCCUUUGAAACUUCACGUGAAAACCCAAAAAGCAAAACCUCUCCCUCUCCUUUGGCUGAACGCCGACCACCACCACCACCUGUCGUUCCUGCUUCCCCUGCUUGCAGCGCCGCCGCCGUCGACCAACUACACCGCCGGUAGUCUCCUUCCUUCUCCUCCCUUUUCGUUUUUCUUUUUCUUUUCUUUUUCGUUAUUCUUCAUCUCUCCUCACUCGAUGUUUUCUGAUUAUCCAGCCAGCACCACCGCACGGCCGCCUGCCGCCGCCAGCCGCGCCGCCUAGUCCAUCGACCACCUCAUCACUGCCGCGCCUCUGUCCGUUGGCCGGAUUCUCUCUCCCUUCUCCUCCAACGCACGCAAGAACCCCCCUCCCUUUGUUGCUUCUUGCUUCAUGCUCCGCACACGCAGCCACCACCGGCGCCACCUGUGCCGAGCUGUUGAGUUCAGUGCCGGUGCCGCACCGCCUUGCCCGCCGCCCUGCACCUCCCCUCUCUUCUAGUUUUUGGUAGAGAAUUCUCUUUAGACGACUUUUGAAAGUGUUAAAGUGGCCUAUCAGUUUGUUUACACAAGUCUCUAAGGAUCAAUAAGCGUUGCCCAUCUACAGGUUUGAAGAUGAUGCAUCAUUGGGAUCGGGAUUAGAGAGCUUGUAUUUAGAUUUGUUUGGUUAAGAGAUUUGGUUUGUUAAUUUGGAUUUGAAAUUUGUCGUACUAUUUGUAUUUCCUUAUUUCCGUUAAUUGGUUUUUAGACUUAAUAUGUAAUCGAUUAUUUAUGAACCUAAAAGUUAGUUUUACGU